AAAAUUUAAUGAUUUAUUUAUUUAUUUCAGGAUACUAUUCAAAUCGUGCUUCUUAAGAGAAAUUAACCAGGUCUAGAGAACAUGUCUUUCUGGGCACCAAAAUGAAGACAGAAAUCUUUAGAAUGAAACACUGACUUGAAUGAGAAAUCAUCAGUAACUUGUAAGACCUCUGAACAAAAUAUUAUCACAAUUGCGAUGGACAUAUUGCAAUAAAGCAUUGAUAGAUGUUGAUUUUGUGUCAAUUAACAUAUGGAUUGAGUUUUGGAAUGUUUUAUCGUCAAUCGUGCUCUUUAUUAUUACUGUGAUGUAUUUUUUCAGCACUAACUUUGGUUGUGGCUUGGCAGGAUACAACACUCGCAAGCAUUGCCAAACAGCUUUUAGGUCUCUUCAUAACUUUUAUUUAUCGCACUUAAUUUAUAAAUUGUUACGUUUCAUGUUUCUGUAAUUCUAGAAUAUUCCCACACUUUUAAUUAACUUUAUAUAUCUAUUCAUGUGUACGUGUAACGUUCAUUUUACGGUAUUAUAUAAACAUGCAACACGCCUAACACAUCACAAGUUUGUUUGGUUCUUUGUUAUAUUUUUGGUAAACCCCCCAUAGAUGUCUCUGAAAAAGUUUGUUCCAAUUUAAAAAAGAUGAAUUUUGAAUAUGAUCUAUUUCGAUAACAAUAAUUUAACAGACAUAAUACAAACCGUAAUCAUAUUUUUAAAACUGAAAUUUGAAGUUUGAGUGACUAUACAACUUUAUGUUUAACACUACAUACGAUCGAACAUCUUUAAACAUCUGUAUUUAUGGGUCACUGGGUUCUUUGCAUGUUUCAAAAUGUUUACAUUAAAUCAAUACAUGUAAUGUUCCUUUCUAAUUAGAGAAUUGUAACAGAGUUAUUUUUCAGAGCGUGGUACCUUUUAUGAUAUUAAAAAAAAUUAUUGGCUUUAUGUAUCGCAUUUUAAGGCGUAAUCUUGUAUGAUUUGUAUUAUUUAUUUUUGUAUGUUAGUCUUGAAAAAUAAAGCCGAUUUUAAUCAAGUA